GAAAGUAGGAAAGGGCGCAUGGCGGAUGCCUUGGCUCUCGGAGGCGAUGAAGGACGUGAUAAGCUGCGAUAAGUCACGGGGAGGUGCAAAUAACCCUUGAUCCGUGAAUCUCCGAAUGGGACAACCCGUUACCUUGAAGAGGUAACAUCCAUCAAUGAUGGAGGCUAACGCAGGGAACUGAAACAUCUUAGUACCUGCAGGAAAAGAAAAUAACAAUGAUUCCCCCAGUAGUGGCGAGCGAACGGGGAAGAGCCCAAACCGUUCAUGUUACGGCAUGGACGGGGUUGUAGGACCGCGUCGUUGCAAGAAAUUUUGCGAGAAGAACGAUCUGGAAAGUUCGGCCGAAGACGGUGACAGCCCGGUAUUCUAAGCAAGACGAAGCAUAGCGGUAUCCUGAGUAGCGCGGAACACGAGGAAUUCUGCGUGAAUCUGCCGGGACCAUCCGGUAAGGCUAAAUACUCCCGAGAGACCGAUAGUGGACCAGUACCGUGAGGGAAAGGUGAAAAGCACUUCGAACAGAAGAGUGAAAUAGUACCUGAAACCGUGCGCCUACAAGCGGUCGGAGCAUGAAAAUGUGACGGCGUGCCUUUUGCAUAAUGAACCUACGAGUUGCCGUCUUUGGCAAGGUUAAGGGACAUGAGUCCCGCAGCCGAAGCGAAAGCGAGUCUGAACAGGGCGUCAAGUCAGCGGCGGCAGACGCGAAACCAAGUGAUCUACCCUUGGCCAGGAUGAAGUCUGGGUAACACCAGAUGGAGGUCCGCACCAAUAAGCGUUGAAAAGCUUCUGGAUGAGCUGAGGGUAGGGGUGAAAGGCUAAUCAAACUUGGAGAUAGCUCGUACUCCCCGAAAUGCAUUUAGGUGCAGCCUUGCGGGUUACUGAUGUGAGGUAGAGCGACUGAUAAGAUGCGAGGGCUUCACCGCCUAUCAAGUCUUGACAAACUCCGAAUGCGCAUCAGUUCUACCGCAGGAGUGAGGGCAUGGGUGCUAAGGUCCGUGCCCGAGAGGAGAAGAAUCCGGACCACCGGCUAAGGUCCCGAAAUGACAGCUAAGUUAAACUAACGAAGUCUGAUUGCUAAGACAGCUAGGAUGUUGGCUUGGAAGCAGCCAUUCAUUUAAAGAGUGCGUAACAGCUCACUAGUCGAGGAAUCGGGCGUGGAUAAUAAUCGGGUAUCAAGUUGUCUACCGAAGCCGUGGGAUCAGCAAUGAUCGGUAGGGGAGCAUUCCAUUCCGCGUCGAAGGCGUGGCGUGAGCCAUUCUGGAGCGUAUGGAAAAGCAAAUGUAGGUAUAAGUAACGAUAAAGGGGGUGAGAAACCCCCUCGCCGAAAGACUAAGGUUUCCUGAUCAACGCUAAUCGGAUCAGGGUCAGUCGGGUCCUAAGGCUCAGCCGAACGGCGAGGCCGAUGGCAGAAACGGUUAAUAUUCCGUUACUACCUUUGAGGGUGACGUGGGGAAGCAGUAGUGACACUGCCGCGGGCUGACGGAAUAGCCCGUUAAAGAGUGUAGGCGUUGAUUUCCGCAGGCAAAUCCACGGAAAGAGCCGAACUUGACAGUAUGGAGCGUCCUUCGGGACAAUCCAAUAGCGCAGGUAAGCAGACUGCCGAGAAAAUCCGCUAAACAUAACUUCAGAGGUACCCGUACCGCAAACGGACACACGUAGUCGGGUUGAAUAUACUAAGGCGCUUGGGUGAAUCACGGUUAAGGAACUAGGCAAACUGACCCUGUAACUUCGGGAUAAAGGGUCCCUCCUCGCAAGAGAGGGCGCAGAGAAUAGGUCCAGGCAACUGUUUAACAAAAACACAGGGCUGUGCGAAUAUGAAAGUAGAAGUAUACAGCCUGACACCUGCCCGGUGCUGGAAGGUUAAGAGGAGAUGUCAUCGCAAGAGAAGCAUUGAAUUGAAGCCCCAGUAAACGGCGGCCGUAACUAUAACGGUCCUAAGGUAGCGAAAUUCCUUGUCGGGU
rnacentral:rRNA from 1 species